rnacentral:lncRNA from 1 species
GGAUGUGCGGGCGAUCUCGUUACGACAUCUGUCACCCUAUUGAUCACCAGGGUUGAUGCGGCUGAUCUGGCUGGCUGGGCGAGUGUCCCCUUCCUCCCUCGCUGCUUGGCGUGCACCUCUCCCGAAGCUACAUGCUUGACCGAAGAGGACGACCAUUCCCAAUAGAGCAGGGCCCAUCUUUGGUCAAAGGUAUACAAGUAGCUACUCUCCCCCGCUAGAACCUCCAAACAAGCUCCCAAG